GAUGAACGCUGGCGGCGUGCCUAAUACAUGCCAGUCGAGCGAACGGACGAGAAGCUUGCUUCUCUGAUGUUAGCGGCGGACGGGUGAGUAACACGUGGAUAACCUACCUAUAAGACUGGGAUAACUUCGGGAAACCGUAGCUAAUACCGGAUAAUAUUUUGAACCGCAUGGUUCAAAAGUGAAAGACGGUCUUGCUGUCACUUAUAGAUGGAUCCGCGCUGCAUUAGCUAGUUGGUAAGGUAACGGCUUACCAAGGCAACGAUGCAUAGCCGACCUGAGAGGGUGAUCGGCCACACUGGAACUGAGACACGGUCCAGACUCCUACGGGAGGCAGCAGUAGGGAAUCUUCCGCAAUGGGCGAAAGCCUGACGGAGCAACGCCGCGGGAGUGAUGAAGGUCUUCGGAUCUCAAGACUCUGUUAUUAGGGAAGAACAUAUGUGUAAGUAACUGUGCACAUCUUGACGGUACCUAAUCAGAAAGCCACGGCUAACUACGUG
rnacentral:rRNA from 1 species